rnacentral:lncRNA from 1 species
UCAAGUCUCCUCCUCCGAUCACGUUGUUCCGACGAGCUCGACAACGGCCAUGGAAGCAGCUAGUUCAGCUCGUUAAUUCGAUUUCUUCACCCACGAAGAAGGAUUCAGUCAUACCCAUACUUCCUCACCUCACUCCUAUGUCCAACACUAUAAAAUUAUAUGCAUUUUCGUAUAUUUAAUUGGUUUGCCCUAAUGAAUUUGUGAGUUUGGUUUAAUAACUUUGCGAAGUUGGUCCGAUAUAUAAUUUGAUUUACCGAUUUUAUGAUUUAAUUAUAAAAAAUUAGAAAAAAUCUCUGCUUUUAUUUACUUUCGUCAUCAUCAUUAUUUUUUUCAUGUUGUAUUUCAUCUUAAUUUCGCUGGUUAAAUAAAAACUUUAAGAAAAUGUGAGAUUUACACUGUUUUGAUAAGUUAAAUAUACGAAUUUUGAAAUUAUUGAAAUUUAAAACGAAGACAUAUAUAUAUAUAUCUUUAAAUCUCUAACAUCAUUGUCAAAACACAUUACAUCUAAAUAACUAAAAUUGUCAUAGGAAUGUAGUUUUUAUAUUAUUUAAUAAUCCUUUUCGAGUUUAAUUCAGUUAAGGAGUGAUUAAAACAUGUUUGCAGAAGUAUCGGAUCUACUUGAAGAAAAAAAUAGAGGAACUGGAGAAGACAUUACUUGAAGAUGACACAGCUUCACCGGUUCUGAAAAUCUACUGGCGGAAAUCAAUACAACUCCUCCCUUGAUCACUUCCAUUACCAUCUUCCAACGACUCCGAUCCUUCCCGGUGGUUGUCACAGUCAACCUCCCCGGCCAGUCACAGUCACAGAGCUGGUGGAAAUGUUGGUGGAGUUUUUCUGCCUAUACUUACGCAAUGAUGACGAUACCAUCCCAUGGCCGGGAGCUGUACCUGUUCUGAAAGCCUAUUUGAGCCAACUAUAAGCUGCUGGAAUGUCUCAGUUUGAUCAGUGUUUCCCCACCUUUUUGUUGUGUUCUGUUUUCCAACUUGUUAGAAUUUGAAAUCUUCUUUUUUUAUGCUGUUCGUUGGGUAAAUUUUAAGAUUAUUGGUUGUCCGUUUAGAUGAGACUAGUAAUGUUAUUAUAAGAGUAUUGAAAUAAUUACGUAUAUUAGGUAUCGAACUUGAAAUUUGAAACUGCUCCAUAUUAUUUAGUGUUGUUUGUUGAAUGUUCGUUUGUAGUUGAAAGACAUAGUUCUUCUGUGCCUAGUCCAUGGCUUUAAUAAAAUUUCAAGUUUAUGAUA